UAAGACUCUAAACUCGGGUUUCAGAGUGAU
rnacentral:piRNA from 1 species